UUGACCUCGAAUCAGGUGGGACUACCCGCUGAACUUAA
rnacentral:rRNA from 2 species